AUUAAACACCAAGAAAACAUGCUGAGAGAAGUGUAUUCUGGAGUUUUUAAUCCUUUUCCACCAGAAAACCUUUGCAGCAGUCAGAAGUAGAAGAGCAACAAAGGGACCAAAGGCAUUAGAACUGGCUGAGAAAGGAGGACAUCAACAAAACUUUGGGAUUAUAAUGAACCACAUUUGUGAACUGUAUUAAGACCACCAUGCAUUGACCAAAGAUCCUGAGCUUUGACCUUGGUGCCGUAUUCUCAUUUGCUGUACUUCUGCAUCCAGUGACUUGGAUAACAGCAUCAUAAGUACACGGCUUUCCAGACUGCAAUAAACUCCUGCAAAUGGAAACGAUGUCUGAGAUCAACUCUGUCCAGAAACAUGAGGCUAAUUUUCACCCUUCCAUCUGCAGCAUAUGACCAUAUUCGUUCUCAGUGCUGCAUAGAAAUAUUUUGAAAGUUUUAACCUUCAGAAGUUCAAAAAUGUCAUGGUGAGUUUAACAUGGAUAUUUCACUUCUGUAUCUGAAAACUACUUUAAGGACAUUCUUGUGUUGAUUGUGUUUUUGUAAAUUUCUUUAUGAAUUACCUA